rnacentral:rRNA from 1 species
GAUGAACGCUGGCGGCGUGCUUAACACAUGCAAGUCGAACGAAGCACCUUGAUUUGAUUCUUCGGAUGAAGAUCCUGGUGACUGAGUGGCGGACGGGUGAGUAACGCGUGGGUAACCUGCCUCAUACAGGGGGAUAACAGUUAGAAAUGACUGCUAAUACCGCAUAAGACCACAGCACCGCAUGGUGCAGGGGUCAAAACUCCGGUGGUAUGAGAUGGACCCGCGUCUGAUUAGGUAGUUGGUGGGGUAACGGGCUACCAAGCCGACGAUCAGUAGCCGACCUGAGAGGGUGACCGGCCACAUUGGGACUGAGACACGGCCCGAACUCCUGCGGGAGGCAGCAGUGGGGAAUAUUGCACAAUGGGGGGAACCCUGAUGCAGCUACGCCGCGUGAGCGAUGAAGUAUUUCGGGAUGUAAAGCUCUAUCAGCAGGGAAGAAAAUGACGGUACCUGACUAAGAAGCACCGGCUAAAUACGUGCCAGCCGCCGCCGUAA